rnacentral:tRNA from 1 species
GCAGGGGUAGCGAAGCGGUCCAACGCGCAGGACUUAAGAUCCUGUGGCCUAGCGCCCUCGUGGGUUCAAAUCCCACCCCCUGCA